AGUUUGAUAAGGUUUCUUCAUUAUUCACAGGAAGACACUCUUGAGAACCCGGCUUAUCAUCUCAGUGCCUCAGAAGAUAGUCAUGGGUCUACGGGAAGUCCAGCCUGGCAAUAAGUCUGCACAAGCCGCUACCAGGAAACUCUCACGGAACCCAUCUCUCCAAGGACAUCAUUACGAGGAAAUCAAGAUGAGUAACCACCAGAGGGCUGUGCGUCACCCACACUUUCAAAGCACCUGGAAGUUUGGGCGAUAGAUGGCGCUGAUCUACGUGCCUCGUAAUUGUUCGCAAGUAACUUAAAGCACAGUGUCGGUGAAAAAAAGUAAAAAAAAACUAAGAAUUAAAUAAGUAAAAGUAAAGAGAAAAAUAAAGUAAAAGAAAAAGGAAAAACUUAAAAAAAUAGAAAUGUCAAGCGUGGGAGACAUUCGCAUUACAUCUCAGCAAGUUCUUUCAGUCUGCACCAACAAAUUAAUGUCAGUGGUUUUGUUCGCGAAGACACUUUGAAGAAAAGAAAAUGAAACACUACGCAUGGCCUUGACUUGG